CUUUGUUUAGCGUUGCUUAUUUCUAUCAGGUGCGCGUUUUUUAAGGAUUAUCCCCUCUCAAUUGUGUUAUUUGUGUUGUUUGUGUUAGCGUCCUUUUUAUUUACCGGUAUAUUUAUAUUUUAUAACUAUGGGAAGAGUAAAACCAUGCUGUGUACCUGGGUGUAACGAUAGAAAGACAAAAAGAUACAGCAUUACUACUAAUAAAAAAACUCGCCCUAUUUGGCUUCAAAGAAUUAAUAAUGAGAAACUUUCCCAAUUGGAUGAUAAACAAAUAGGAAAUUACCUUAUUUGUGGUUUACAUUUUGAGGAUAGCUGCAAAGAAGCUAAUGAAAAACUACGAAUUGGUGCCUUACCAUCACUUCAUUUACCUGGAUACGUAAAAACACAAAAUGAUAAUUUUUUGCCUCCAUCCCCUCCUGAAACCCUUACAUCAACUCCUAAAAA